rnacentral:rRNA from 1 species
CCUACGGGAGGCAGCAGUGGGGAAUAUUGCACAAUGGGGGAAACCCUGAUGCAGCGACGCCGCGUGAGUGAAGAAGUAUUUCGGUAUGUAAAGCUCUAUCAGCAGGGAAGAAAAUGACGGUACCUGACUAAGAAGCACCGGCUAACUACGUGCCAGCAGCCGCGGUAAUACGUAGGGGGCAAGCGUUAUCCGGAUUUACUGGGUGUAAAGGGAGCGUAGACGGCCAGACAAGUCAGAAGUGAAAUCCCGGGGCUCAACUGCGGAAGUGCUUUUGAAACUGUUUGGCUGGAGUGCAGGAGAGGUAAGCGGAAUGCAUGGUGUAGCGGUGAAAUGCGUAGAUAUUAGGAGGAACACCAGUUGCGAAGGCAGCUUACUGGACUGUAACUGACGUUGAGGCUCGAAAGCGUGGGGAGCAAACAGGAUUAGAUACCCGUGUAGUC